GAUGAACGCUGGCGGCGUGCCUAAUACAUGCAAGUCGAGCGAAAAGACGAGGAGCUUGCUCCUUCGACGUUAGCGGCGGACGGGUGAGUAACAAGUAGGUAACCUACCUAUAAGACUGGGCUAACUUCGGGAAACCGGAGCUAACACCGGAUAAUAUUUCGAACCGCAUGGUUCGAUAGUGAAAGAUGGCUUUGCUAUCACUUAUAGAUGGACCUGCGCCGUAUUAGCUAGUUGGUAAGGUAACGGCUUACCAAGGCAACGAUACGUAGCCGACCUGAGAGGGUGAUCGGCCACACUGGAACUGAGACACGGUCCAGACUCCUACGGUAGGCAACAGUAGAGUAUCUUCCGCAAUGGGCGGAAGCCUGGCGGAACAACGCCGCGUGGGGUAUGAAAGUCUUCGGAUCGGAAAACUCUGUUACUAGUGAAGAACAAACGUGUAAGUAACUGUGCACGUCUUGACGGUACCGAAUCAGAAAGCCACGGCUAACUACGUG
rnacentral:rRNA from 1 species